AGUUUCAGCCUUUAUUAGACUUGUCUCUUGCAGUUCUAUCCUAGUCUCGGGUAUAGACCUUAGUCCUAGUAUGUGGUCCUCAGUCCUAAGGCAUGGUCCUGAAGGAGCACCAGUGGAAAGGUCAUGUGCUUACCAAGCUUCUCUAAUGUGGCUGUGUUUGCUCAGUUUUGUAAUCUCCCUGCAGUUGCUUUCCUCUAGGUAAUUUAGAGUCUUACCCUGUGUAUGAACUAUGAGCACUCAGCCAAGUAGUAGAGGAGAAUUGGCACACUGAUUUUAAAAAGGAAGUCUCUUUUGUGCUUUUAUCAUUUGCUGGAUUUCACUCCUCCAUUUCCAGUCACUCCAGCCCUAUACACAGUGUAAAUUAAAGGGAUGUGCCUUUAGGGGAAGAUCUUACCCAAUGUGCUUCAUUUCUCUCAAGGGUUAGAUCCCCUUAGUUUCUGCCUGCUUUGGUGGCUGUCCAGUGCCUUAAGGUGGGGCUUAUCAAGAGCUGGAGGGUUUGAACCAGAUUUAGGCAGAAUUUUAAAGCGACAGCUGUAGAGUUAAAGAAGAAGUUGACUGAAAUGUGUAUCAAGGGCAAAGGCUUGGAGAUGACACUUUCUCCCAAAUGGUAUUCCAGUACAGAUUCCUUCUCUGAGCACUCCAACCAGACAUAAAGGAGUCUUAAUUCCCAAACCCAAGCAUGUCUGGAAAGAUUCUUCGUAUUGAGGUUACCUCCUCCAUGAGGGUCUCCUACUGGGAACAGGGAACCUUGAAGAAGUGAGCGUGGGGAAUGGUGGGUGCAAACAAGUGGGGCACAUUUGAUGAAGGACAGAUGGAAGGCAGGCAGGCUGGCAGGGACAAGCGCUCCCUCACUCAGAAGAAACCACCCUUAAAAGGAUUUUACACCACCCUGGAAAGAGCCCUCCACCCUUUCCCAGUGACAAAAAUCGGUGACAAAAACCUGAUUGGAUGACAGGUGCAGGGAGGGUUAAUCAGAUUAAAACAACCCACUAACAAGCCCAUAAACACCCCUAAACUUAGAAACUCCAGUGGCAACUGUCUCGGGUCCCCUCCCUCCUUGGGAGUUUUGUCCUGUCCCUUUGCUAUCACUCAAUAAACCUUGCUUUGCU